GAUGAACGCUGGCGGCGUGCCUAAUACAUGCAAGUCGAGCGAACAGACGAGGAGCUUGCUCCUCUGACGUUAGCGGCGGACGUGUGAGUAACACGUGGAUAACCUACCUAUAAGACUGGGAUAACUUCGGGAAACCGGAGCUAAUACCGGAUAAUAUAUUGAACCGCAUGGUUCAAUAGUGAAAGACGGUUUUGCUGUCACUUAUAGAUGGAUCCGCGCCGCAUUAGCUAGUUGGUAAGGUAACGGCUUACCAAGGCAACGAUGCGUAGCCGACCUGAGAGGGUGAUCGGCCACACUGGAACUGAGACACGGUCCAGACUCCUACGGGAGGCAGCAGUAGGGAAUCUUCCGCAAUGGGCGAAAGCCUGACGGAGCAACGCCGCGUGAGUGAUGAAGGUCUUCGGAUCGUAAAACUCUGUUAUUAGGGAAGAACAAAUGUGUAAGUAACUAUGCACGUCUUGACGGUACCUAAUCAGAAAGCAACGGCUAACUACGUG
rnacentral:rRNA from 1 species